GACGAACGCUGGCGGCGUGCCUAAUACAUGCAAGUCGAACGCACUCUCGUUUAGAUUGAAGGAGUUUGCUCCUGAUUGAUAAACAUUUGAGUGAGUGGCGGACGGGUGAGUAACACGUGGGUAACCUGCCCUAAAGUGGGGGAUAACAUUUGGAAACAGAUGCUAAUACCGCAUAAAACCUAACACCGCCUGGUGUAGGGUUGAAAGAUGGUUUCGGCUAUCACUUUAGGAUGGACCCGCGGUGCAUUAGUUAGUUGGUGAGGUAAAGGCUCACCAAGACCGUGAUGCAUAGCCGACCUGAGAGGGUAAUCGGCCACACUGGGACUGAGACACGGCCCAGACUCCUACGGGAGGCAGCAGUAGGGAAUCUUCCACAAUGGACGAAAGUCUGAUGGAGCAACGCCGCGUGAGUGAAGAAGGUUUUCGGAUCGUAAAACUCUGUUGUUGGAGAAGAAUGUAUCUGAUAGUAACUGAUCAGGUAGUGACGGUAUCCAACCAGAAAGCCACGGCUAACUACGUG
rnacentral:rRNA from 1 species